UUUUCUCCUAUCUUUCUGACUUGGAAUCACUAAGAACAAAAACUGCCCUUUUCCGGAAGCCCUGCAAGCUGAAGCUGGACAACUUAAUCUAGACUUAAAGAGAACUCACCACCACAGCUUACGUAUGGACAACUUUUGUGCCUGUUGCUGUGAGCUGCUCAGACAUCACUGGAAACAUUCAAACUGCAAAAGAUGCUUCAAAGUCAGAUGGACCCACCGGGACCAGCAACUCUUCCGUGGCUCCCACCCAGAAGCCAACUGAGUGCACCAGGACCAGCUUCCACACCCCGAUGGUUGCAUCCCCAACCAAUCAGCAGUACCAAUUCCCUAGUCCUCUGUCUGCC
rnacentral:lncRNA from 10 species